rnacentral:rRNA from 1 species
CUAAUACAUGCAAGUCGAGCGAACAGACGAGGAGCUUGCUCCUCUGACGUUAGCGGCGGACGGGUGAGCAACACGUGGAUAACCUACCUAUAAGACUGGGAUAACUUCGGGAAACCGGAGCUAAUACCGGAUAAUAUAUUGAACCGCAUGGUUCAAUAGUGAAAGACGGUUUUGCUGUCACUUAUAGAUGGAUCCGCGCCGCAUUAGCUAGUUGGUAAGGUAACGGCUUACCAAGGCAACGAUGCGUAGCCGACCUGAGAGGGUGAUCGGCCACACUGGAACUGAGACACGGUCCAGACUCCUACGGGAGGCAGCAGUAGGGAAUCUUCCGCAAUGGGCGAAAGCCUGGCGGAGCAACGCCGCGUGAGUGAUGAAGGUCUUCGGAUCGUAAAACUCUGUUAUUAGGGAAGAACAAAUGUGUAAGUAACUAUGCACGUCUUGACGGUACCUAAUCAGAAAGCCACGGCUAACUACGUGCCAGCAGCCGCGGUAAUACGUAGGUGGCAAGCGUUAUCCGGAAUUAUUGGGCGUAAAGCGCGCGUAGGCGGUUUUUUAAGUCUGAUGUGAAAGCCCACGGCUCAACCGUGGAGGGUCAUUGGAAACUGGAAAACUUGAGUGCAGAAGAGGAAAGUGGAAUUCCAUGUGUAGCGGUGAAAUGCGCAGAGAUAUGGAGGAACACCAGUGGCGAAGGCGACUUUCUGGUCUGUAACUGACGCUGAUGUGCGAAAGCGUGGGGAUCAAACAGGAUUAGAUACCCUGGUAGUCCACGCCGUA